rnacentral:tRNA from 1 species
UCCCUGGUGGUCCAGUGGCUAACACUCUGAGCUCCCAUUGCAGGGGCCCAGGUUCAAUCCCUGGUCAGGGAG